rnacentral:rRNA from 1 species
AUUGAACGCUGGCGGCAGGCUUAACACAUGCAAGUCGAGCGAGCGGCGGACGGGUGAGUAAUGUCUGGGAAACUGCCUGAUGGAGGGGGAUAACUACUGGAAACGGUAGCUAAUACCGCAUACCAUCAGAUGUGCCCAGAUGGGAUUAGCUAGUUGUUGGGGUAAUGGCUCACCUAGGCGACGACCCCUAGCUGGUUUGAGGGGAUGACCAGCCACACUGGAACUUAGACACGGUCCAGACUCCUACGGGAGGCAGCAGUGGGGAAUAUUGCACAAUGGGCGAAAGCCUGAUGCAGCCAUGCCGCGUGUGUGAAGAAGGCCUUCGGGUUGUAAAGCACUUUCAGCGGGGAGGCGUUACUCGCAGAAGAAGCACCGGCUAACUCCGUGCCAGCAGCCGCGGUAAUUC